AUGAUCAUGGGUGCUCUUUGUGAUUUUUGUGGGGAGCAAAGGCCAACAAUUUAUUGCCGAUCGGAUGCUGCAUCCUUAUGCUUAUCGUGCGACCGUAAUGUGCAUUCGGCUAACACCCUUUCCCAGCGACAUAUGAGGACCCUUCUGUGUGAUCGUUGUGCUUCACAGCCUGCAGCAGUCCGGUGUCUUGAAGAGAACACCUCACUUUGCCAAAACUGUGAUUGGAACGGGCAUGCCGCGACAUCCUUGGCUGCCGGGCAUCUAAGGCAGACCAUAAACUGCUACUCAGGAUGCCCAUCAUCAGAAGAGCUGGCAAGAAUCUGGUCCUUUGAUUUUGAUGCCCCUUCUGCAGCUGCUGAGCCGAACUGCGAGGAAGGAAUAAGCAUGAUGAGCAUUAAUGACAGUGGUGUCAGUAAUCAUUGUGGCGCUCAACAGGAUAGCAGCUUGCUGGAUAUGGCUAACACAUCACUCAUCAGUGAUCCACACACUGGCGAAAAGCUUAAUACCGGAGACGAAAUGAAUCUUCGGCCACUUCCUACACAUCAGCCAGCUCAAUCAGUUUCGAUGGCACCUAAGGUACCCUGUGUAACAGAUGACGAUAUGUUCAAUGAUGGCAGCAUAUAUGAAAACUUCUGUGUGGAUGAUGCUGGCCUGACAUUUGAGAAUUAUGAAGAGCUGUUUGGUACUCCUCACAUUCAGACAGAGCAACUAUUUGAUGAUGCUGGAAUUGACAGUUACUUUGGAAUGAAGGAAAUGCCAGCUGCUGAUUGUAACGAGCUCAAACCCGCGCAGCCCGAAUGUAGCAACGCAGUAUCUGCUGACUCCAGCCUCUGUGUUCCUGCUAGGCAGGCCAUAUCCAGUAUUUCCCUCUCGUUCUAUGCUUUGACUGGUGAGAGCAAUGCUGGAGAUCACCAAGAUUGUGGGGUAUCACCACUGCUCCUUACGGGCGAGCCACCCUGGCUUCCUGGUCCUGAAGGUUCAAUUGCCAGUGGCAGCAGAGGUAGUGCUCUCUCGCGGUACAUGGAGAAGAAGAAGAGAAGAAAAUUCGACAAGAAGAUCAGGUACGCUUCUCGCAAGGCUAGGGCAGACGUGAGGAAAAGGGUCAAGGGCCGGUUUGUCAAAGCCGGCGAAGCAUACGACUAUGAUCCGCUCAACGAUACACGAAGCUACUGA
rnacentral:rRNA from 1 species